rnacentral:lncRNA from 1 species
CAAGUAUAGGAUCUUUUAAAAUUCUCAUUCAAACCCAAGUUAUACCCAAAAAUCAAGGGAGUCGUGUUCCACUCCUAAUCACAAGACCUUCCGCCCAGAAGUCAUGGCAGUUCAUUCUGCAUCACUGUCAAAGCCAAAGCAUUUGAGACAGGUCAAGUAAGUUAACAAUUUAAACUGGGAAUAAUUAGUGGAUCGUUCAGUUUUGAAAAAUACAAUGCUCAGGAGGAAAUUCCUUGUUCUCCUUCAAGUAGGAACAAGUAAGCUAAAAGAAAGCCUAUAGCUCCUAAAUAAUAAGAGAACAUGGUUUAUCCGGUCAUCUACUCGAUCUCUUGUUCACUUCUUCAUUUUCAUAUUUUCUAAACAAAUUAAGAUAUUUAAUAGUUAAAACAAUAGGCAUUCAUAAACAUGUUACCUGAACAAUUGAAGACUCAGUGCUGGACUGUGGACUCGGCGGAAACGAUGGCUGUGUCAGUGGUGUUUACCGUCUGGACGCUGUCGCUUACGCUUCUCGAAAUCAAAGACGAAAGAAGGAUUAAGAAAAGUUUGCAGAGAAAAAUCUGGGGUUCCAAAUUUGGGCGUUUAAGAAUCGGGGUUGAGGAAGAAAAAAA